rnacentral:sRNA from 1 species
GAAUUUUUGAACUAUAUACUUUAAUCUGUAAAUUAAAUAUGGUAAUAAGAAGCCAACAUGUUUCUAACUCGGCUGGCAUAGGUUUAUUAGUGUUGAUGAGCGAUAGUAUUUUAUAUUUUGAUCGUUGACAUAAGUCUUGUUUAUUCUAUUUUAUUUUCCUCCAGACAAGAAAUAAAUGCAAGAAAAUUGAGGAAAAUAAGUUUGCUCAUGCAGGUACAAUUUAAAUUGAAGAGCAAUGUUUAGCAGGAUCCACAUUUAUUCUGCCAAGAUGAGAGACUUGCCCACUGAAGGCAAUGUGAUCUGGAGAUAUUUACUCUCAAAUCCAUAGACAUACUGUGGAAAUGCUCAAGAGAAGUGGGAAUAAGAAACUCUGCACCUUUUCUCUGCCUACCCUCUUGCUGAGUUCAAGCCGAUUUUACAACUGUAAGUCAAGAAUAGCAUCAUUUUUCAUCUGUGAAAUCAGACAGUCUCCCAGUAUAAAAAUCUCUGUCACUAUCUCUCACAAAUGCAAAGCAGGAAGAAACAUCUAUAACAGAGCAUGCCCUCUGUGACAGACUCCUGAUCCCCUUCUCUUCUGCCUCGGUGGAGUAGCUAUGUUCUCCU